AACGCUAGCUACAGGCUUAACACAUGCAAGUCGCGGGGCAGCAUGAAUUUAGCUUGCUAAAUUUGAUGGCGACCGGCGCACGGGUGAGUAACGCGUAUCCAACCUUCCCCUGUCCACGGGAUAGCCCGUCGAAAGGCGGAUUAAUACCGUAUGAGGUCACACGAUGGCAUCAGACUGUGACGAAAGGUUUGGCGGACAGGGAUGGGGAUGCGUCCGAUUAGGUAGUCGGCGGGGUAACGGCCCACCGAGCCGACGAUCGGUAGGGGUUCUGAGAGGAAGGUCCCCCACAUUGGAACUGAGACACGGUCCAAACUCCUACGGGAGGCAGCAGUGAGGAAUAUUGGUCAAUGGGCACAGGCCUGAACCAGCCAAGUAGCGUGAAGGAUGACUGCCCUAUGGGUUGUAAACUUCUUUUAUAUGGGAAUAAAGUUUUCCACGUGUGGAAUUUUGUAUGUACCAUAUGAAUAAGGAUCGGCUAACUCCGUGCCAGCAGCCGCGGUAAUACGGAGGAUCCGAGCGUUAUCCGGAUUUAUUGGGUUUAAAGGGAGCGUAGGUGGACAGUUAAGUCAGUUGUGAAAGUUUGCGGCUCAACCGUAAAAUUGCAGUUGAUACUGGCUGUCUUGAGUACAGUAGAGGUGGGCGGAAUUCGUGGUGUAGCGGUGAAAUGCUUAGAUAUCACGAAG
rnacentral:rRNA from 1 species